CUUCUCGCUCUCCUCCGAGGGGGCCAGCACCAGCUCCACUUCUUCCUCCAGGACGCUGUCCUGGAAGGCCCCAGAGAUGCCCAGGUGUGGUGACGGGCCAGCCAUGGGUUCCCCCAGUGCCUGCUGUGGAGCUUGGUCACUUGCAUCCUCCGGGUGGUAUUGCUUCGUGGUGGGUCCACACUAUGAGCUUAUCAGGCAAUGUGCUCAAAGGAAAGGAAGGCCUUGCGAAGUAUGUGGCACAGGUAGGGGCUAUACGCAUAUUACUGUGUCCCCCCAAAUUCAUAUGUUGAAGUCCCAACCCCCAGUACCUGGGGGUACAAAAUGUCACGAUAUUUAGAGGUAGGACCUUUAAAGAGGUAAUUCAGUUUGAACAAAGGCCACGGGGGGCAGUAGGGGUGGGGGAGAACUAAGCCACCUGACUGUGUUAGGGCCUCCAAAGAAGUGAUUAUUAAAAUGAUGGCGAGAGGAUGGGGUCCCAAGCCUACCUGGCUGAGGUCCUUAUAAGAAGAGAAGACACCAGAGAAGGACACACACAGAGGAAAGGCUGCGUGAGAGCAGCAAGAAGAUGGUUUUGUGUGAGCCAAGAAGGGGGCCUCGGGAGAACCAAACUUGCCAACACCUUGCUCUUGUACUUCCAGCCUCCAGAACUAUGAGAAAUAAAUGUCUGUUUUCUUAGCCACUCAGUCUGUGGUGUUUUGUUACGGCAGCUCUAGCACACCAGUGCAGGUACACACCAGGAGAGGCUCACACCAGUGCAAGCUCACACCAUUGCAGGCUCAUAUCAGUGCAGGCACACACCAGGACAGGCUCAAACCAAUGCAGGCACACACCAAUGCAGGCUCACACCAAUGCAGGCUUACACCAGUGCAGGCACACACCAGUGCAGGCUCACACCAAUGCAGGCUCACACCAUGCAAAUGGGACCGAGUGUGGGAGGCUGUGCUACUGCAUGGUUGCUGAAAGCAAAUGUUGGAAAACAUAUUCCACUUAGCCCUUUGGGCUAAGAAUUAUCCCCAGCACAUGUGCUUGACUGGGUGGGCAUGGGGACAGAUGAGCUCUAGAGCAUUAUUUGGAACUGGCAUAGAUUCAGAUAGAGAUGGACAAAUCAGAAAUGUAAAAAUAUUUUGAAAAAAAUUCUAUGAGGCAGCAAUGGACGAGACAGGCCAUUGAGUGCUGUCAUUGUCUUUAAAAAAUACUAUGUUCACUGCUUUCAAAGUAAGUGUCAUGAGGUUUAUUACUUAGUGGUUCUCUGGCUCCCCUAAGUUGACUGUAAAAUCUUUAUGAGGCACUUGGUAAGCACAUAAGUAUUUGAAGUACCCAAGGGAUAAAAGAGCUCGGUAGUGAAAUGGUGAGUGAAGGCUGGAAUUGCCCUAAAGUCUGGGUAGGAAGGGGGCCUCCAGCUGAGUAUGCCAAGCAAGUAACAUGAAUUAUCUCUCAAAUCUUCUAGAAAGCCCUAUGAGGGGGCAGUAUCAUAAUACCCUUUUCACAGAGAAAGAAAUGGAAAGGUUAAGAAACUUGCUCAAGGCCAGGCACGGUGGUUCACACCUGCAAUCCCAGUGCUUUGGGAGGCUGAGGCCAGAGGAUCACUCGAGGACAGGAGUUUGAGACCAGCCUGGGCAACAUAGUGAGACUCAGUUUCUACAAAAACAAAAAAACCAAAAAAUUAAAAAAUAAAAACUUGCUGAAGUGGUGGAAACAGUGAUUCAGGGAUCUUUGUCUUAAAUACUUUGUAAUGUGUUAUUUAUUAUGCUUCUUGUUAAUUUCUACAUGGGAAAUUAUAUAUAUGUUUAUGUUUUUAAAUAUAUAUUAUAUAUACUUAUAUAUUAAAUACGUAUUUCUACAUAUGUUUCCCAUAUAUGUGCUAUGUAAUAUAUAUGGUAAGAAAGCUCAACAUGGGUAAGGAUCUUUGUGAGUUUUGUUAACUGUUGUAUCCAAAGUGCCUGGGACAGGACCCUUGACAACAAUUUGUGGAAUAACUGAGUGUUGGAGUCCAUUGGCCUUCGACCACUCUUUUUUACAGCCCCUCUGGCAUACAUGAAGGGUGAAUCUGAGUUUUAUAUCCCACAGCCUUACACAAAUAAAUGUCAUGAUUGCGUUUUCUCUUGUUGUUCUGCAGUGGUAUUUACCUGGACAGUUUAAUGAUGUCUCUGACCUCUUCAUUUUAAGAAACCUUUCAAGAACUUUUUACUUCAUUCAACAGUUGUCUAUUCAUGCCAUAGGUAUUUAUAAUGAACUGUGAUAUCUAUAUUGUGGAGAAACGGGGUGCUCAGAAAGCUUUUCUUUUUCUUUUUCUUUUCUUUUCUUUUUUUUUUUUAUUCUGAGAUGGAGUCUCACUCUGUCACCUAGGCUGGAGUGCAG
rnacentral:lncRNA from 10 species